CUUUGGGGAAACCAGUUUUGCUUCACCAUCUCUCUUUUGUACGGUCAACCCCUGCUCAUAACGGUGAGCGACUUGGCCCGCCAGCUAUGGUUUCCAACGCCCGGAUCCCGCCCCCGAUCCCUCCGCCCCAACCAAAGAUCCCAAAGUUCAAGAUUGCACUCUGCCAGUUGCUGGUCACUCCGGACAAGGAGAGGAACAUUGCUCAUGCUCGGAAAUCGAUCGAAGAUGCAGCAAGGAAGGGUGCAAAGCUGGUUGUAUUGCCUGAAAUAUGGAAUUGUCCUUUAUCACUUCAGAACUUGUCAAAAUAUGCGGAGGAUAUAGAUGCUGAAGCUGCAUGCCCAUCAAUCUCAAUGCUAUCAGAAGUUGCUCUUUGUAAUGCAAUCACGAUAGUAGGUGGAUCAAUACCUGAACUGGCUGCAGGUCAGUUAUUUAACACAUGUUGUGUUUUUGGACCAGACGGGAAGUUAAAGGCCAAGCAUAGAAAACUGCAUCUGUUUGAUUUUGACAUCCCGGGAGAGGUUACCUUCAGGGAAUCUGAUUUUCUUACAGCUGGAGAGGAACCAACUAUUGUAGACACAGAUGUAGGGCGUAUUGGGAUAGGUGUAUGUCAUGAUAUCCGUUUUCCAGAACUUGCAAUGUUGUAUGGAUCUAGAGGGGCUCAUUUGAUAUGCUAUCCUGGAGCAUUUAACAUGAGUACUGGUGAAUUGCUGUGGGAAUUGAUGCAAAGAGCAAGGGCUGCUGAUAAUCAGUUGUUUGUUGCAACUUGUGCACCAGCCCAGGACCCUAAUACCAGUGCUGAUUACAUUACAUGGGGUCAUUCUGGUCUUGUUGGACCGUUCGGUGAAAUAAUUGCAACAGCGGGGAAUGAAGAGACAACCGUCAUUGCGGAGAUCGAUUAUUCUCUGAUCCAGUUCCAGAGGGAGUACCUUCCUCUUGAGGUGCAAAGGCAGGGAGACAUGUACAAGAUGGUUGAUGUCCUUGGAGGGAAUGCUCAGUGAUGCUCAUGGAAAUAUUCUUGCAUCUCUAAUAUGAAGUUAUUCAGUUGGAUAAGAACUAGUUGUCAAAUAUCUGUUUCUUGCUGAGAUGGCUCAAGAUGAUGAAAUAUCAUACAGAUUUCAUCACUAUGGUUGGCUUGAAGUAAACAGUUGAGACAAAUGUUAUUGAUUUUUGCCAGCGGCUCUAAAUAGCACUUUGAGGAUUAUCAAAAAGUCAAACUUGGAUUGCCAUGGACAUGCAUAUCUGAACUUAAGUGUUACCUAGCAAUAUUUAUAUAGAUGUCAGAAUUUAUGACAGUAAUGCAAUCCCCGUACAUGAUCAAAAUAUGAUUAUUCUGUUGGAGGGAAUUUGGUGCUAUGUCAUGUCCCCAAUGUCACAUAUGAAGUAGCUUUUUUUUUCUCAUGUUGUUGGGUUUGUAGUUAACUUUCAUUGUUUCUGUCUGAUUAAUAUCUUGGUCCUCUUGUUAGAACCUAUUUAUUUGUAAUAUGCUUUUCUCCUGGUUAAAAGUGGAUAUAAGCUGCAAUUUCUUGUGCAAUAUCAUGGAUAAUGCUCUUAAUGAGCUUUAGGCAUGAUUAUCUCUACGUGGAUGCCUAUGUAUUAGCAUCCUUGCUUCACAUGCUAUGAAGUCUUGUGUUGUCAACUGUUGCAAAUGGAGGAGUUUAGUGGGGUACACUCUGCAGAGGCAUUACAUAAGAAUGAUAAUAAGAUUGAAAGAGAAGAAUACAAAUGCUCACCUCAUGCGGCUGAAUAAACCAUCCAUUGAUCUUUGCUUGAUCCCUGAUGGCUGCUAAUUGAGGAUCACCGGUCAUUGUAUCAACUGGUUUUGAGAUUGUUUCAUGAUUGAGUUUUGUGGGAUGAGAGGGUUGCUGGUUGUUAGAUAUGUGGUGCAGGAAGCCAUUCUGCUGUGCAUUGUCUAAGCAGAACCUGAGAUAUUCCUUCAUGCUCUCCAGACGAGCUUUGUAAGUAUCCUUGAGAUCUCUCUGACGUUGAAGCUCCUCUCUGAGUUCGUCAACCUUGAUUGCAAAACAGAAAAAUACUUCAACAUCCAGAAAGAGCUAGUUUUCCUAUCUAAACCAUAACUAUUUGUUGUUUGUUUUUCAAUUUUUCAUUUUUCACCUUCAAAUUUCUGUUCUUUUUUGAAAUCCAGGGUUCUGAAGUCAUCCUGAAAUACCAUUUGGUGCAUUUAAGAUGUCUUCUCUAGUCUCCACUGUAAUGCUCGAGGAAUUUUUGCUGAUUGUUUUUAAUUUUUCAAAUUCCUGUUCUUUUUUGAAAUCCAGGGAUCUGAGUUGUCCUAAAAUAUCAUUUGGUGCAUUGGUUGGGGAAGAUGGCUUCUCCAGUCUCCAGCACAUUGCUUGAGGAAUGCUGAAAUAUUGUGGAGAGGUAAGAUUUUGGUUCUCUCUUAUUUAUGCUGAAAUAUGGGCAUCUACAAGCAGUUCAUAGUUGAUGGUGCAGUCAUAGAAAAUGGUA